UAUGAUAAAGUAACAUGAUGAUAA
rnacentral:siRNA from 1 species